GAUGGUGGCUAUAGCAGCGGGGAAACACCUGUUCCCAUCCCGAACACAGAAGUUAAGACCGCUUACGCCGAUGGUACUGCAUGGGUAACUGUGUGGAAGAGUAGGGCACCACCAUCA
rnacentral:rRNA from 1 species